CCUCAACGGAUUUGUAUUGAUCUCAAUUGAUUGUUCUUUCCUUACAAGACCGAAAGAAAUAUUUAUUCGCGUCAUGAAGUUCCUCACCGUUUUUUUGGUCGUUGCGAUGGUGUUGACGGCAGCUAGUGCCCAGUACCGAUGCCGCAGCCGAAGGGCGGGGUGCUCGUCCCAUUGGCAGUGCUGUUCGCAGAUAUGCCGCAGAAACAGAUGUGCCUAGUUGGAGACGCCUCCAGUUGGGGGAGAAGACAGUCCUGCUACGGGGGGAGAUGCCGAACGGGGGAAAACUACCCCCUAAAUCCUCCCCCGAGACAGUCGAUAUUUCUCUCGAUGGCAUAAGGAUCUUACUUAACGAUUCUUUCAUUUGUGCUUAUUAACACUUUCGAUGUGGAUUCAAUUAAAUAUUGAAUAUUGUGAUAAUAAGAUUUAUUGAAAUCGUA